GGGAGUCAUUUCAGACAUUUUAAGACUGGAUGACAUACAAUUUUCAGGUUACCCUACAUUUAUGCAGGAGUUACCCAAAGUAAUUGAUGUGGAUCAAGAAGCAACACCACAAACAGAAGUGAUUGUUAUAGAGGAUAACGAGUUUGAGGAACAACAGACAGAAGCUGUAUCUUUACUCAGUCACUCGCCAUCAAGAUAUUUUAGACCUGACACUCCAUGUAGAAGCGUGUACAGCGUUCAACCCAGGCAUUAUGGACUCCUCCGUUGAAUGACUGCUUGAAUGAUUGUGAAAAUGACGUUCUCCUCUCGUUCUGUACAGCAGGCUUUGACAUAGACGAAACUCCAACCAACCCAAGAACAGAGGGAUUGUCAUACCUAGACACGCCUCCAAACCCCCCCGAGGCGUUCAGUAUAUAAUAGGGCACGGACACUAUUUCAAAGUCCAGCACGGCUCCACAGACACAUAGUUCAAGUUGACAGAAUGGCUUCACCUUUGACCGAGGAGAACGAUUGGUCUGAAAACGACUGGAUUGAAGAACAUGCUCUUUAUGGAAAUGGCCUGUUUUAUUAUAGUUAUAAUUUUUAAUGACUAUGUUAAAAACAAUAUUAUGAUUAUUAUUUUUGUAAAAAGACAGACUCAGACAAUGGACAGCGGGAAGAAAACAGGCCUUCCAUGACUCCACAGAAAAACAGGUUUAGUCAACAAACAGACAGCUAUUUCCCUGUAACCCAAGUCCGAACAGUGAGAAACAGAAACAGCCUAUACAAGCAUAGCAGACCCAAUACAACAAGAGGAAGAGGAGGAAGAGGAGGAAGAGGAGGAAGAGGAGGAAGAGGAUGAUUCAAUGAUGAUAUACUGAUUACUGCAUCUAAACAGGUCAAUAAAUUCAAUGAUGAUAGUGUCAAUGAUGUUGAUGAUGAGGAUGAUGUGUUGAUGUAUGAUGAGGAUGAUGUG